ensembl:lncRNA novel transcript
GGUCCCGCCUCCAUGCCCAUCCCAAGAUGGCGGAGAUCCCCCUGUACUUUGUGGACUUGCAGGAUGACUUAGACGACUAUGGAUUUGAAGACUAUGGUACAGAUUGCGACAACAUGAGAGUAACGGCCUUCUUGGACAUUCCAGGCCAGGAUAACCUGCCUCCACUCACUCGCCUGGAGAAGUAUGCUUUCAGCGAGAACACCUUCAACCGGCAGAUUAUUGCCAGAGGGCUGCUUGAUAUCUUCCGGGACUUCGGUAACAAUGAAGAAGACUUCCUCACGGUAAUGGAGAUUGUAGUCAGAUUGUCAGAAGAUGCAGAGCCCACAGUGCGGACUGAGCUGAUGGAACAGAUUCCUCCUAUUGCCAUUUUUUUACAAGAAAACAGAUCAAAUUUUCCAGUGGUGCUCUCUGAAUAUCUCAUACCUAUUGUAGUGAGGUACCUCACAGAUCCAAACAAUCAGAUAAUCUGCAAAAUGGCUUCAAUGCUGAGUAAGAGUACCGUUGAACGCCUGCUACUCCCCCGAUUCUGUGAACUGUGUGGUGACAGGAAGCUCUUUCAAGUUCGGAAGGUUUGUGCUGCAAAUUUUGGUGAUAUUUGUCAUGCUGUUGGACAAGAAGCCACUGAGAAAUUUUUGAUCCCAAAGUUCUUUGAGCUCUGCUCUGAUGCUGUUUGGGGCAUGCGGAAAGCCUGUGCAGAAUGCUUCACGGCUGUGUCGCACAGCUCCUCCCCUGGGGUCCGCAGAACCCAGCUCUUCCCGCUCUUCAUCAGACUUGUCAGCGACCCCUGCCGAUGGGUGCACCAGGCUGCCUUCCAGUCCCUCGGCCCCUUCACUUCCACCUUUGCAAACCCCUCCAGGGCUGGCCUUUAUCUUCGAGAGGAUGGCGCCCUGAGCAUCUGGCCACUCACCCAGGAUUUGGACUCUGGUUUUGCCUCUGGCUCCCCUGCUCCCAGCAGUGGUGGUAACACUUCCCCUGCCAGUUUAACUCGUUCAGCAAAGCCUGUGCGGAGCGAGCCAGAGCUACCUGUGGAAGGGACCUCAGCGAAAACCAGUGAUUGCCCACACAGCAGUAGCUCCUCUGACGGCCCAGCGGAAAGCCCUGUGGAAAGCUGUGUGUCGGCUGGAGCUGAGUGGACCAGGGUUUCCCCAGAGACCAGCGCCUGCUCAAAGCUUUCUGACAUGAAUGACCUCCCCAUCAGCAGCUACCCUGGAUCAGAUUCCUGGGCCUGCCCAGGGAACACUGAGGAUGUGUUCAGUCAUUUUCUUUAUUGGUGAACUCCUCUCCCUGACAUAAGCAAGGACUUAGAGCUGCUUCUGAGUGAGGCUGGGCCUCAGGAGGACGACUGCAGCAGACCUGGGGUUGUGCACAACAGCUGUGUGGCCCGGAGUGAGAUUCAGAAAGUCCUUGGUAGCUUGCAGGAGCAUCUGAUGAAUGAUCCAGAUGUUCAAGCUCAAGUUCAGGUAUUAUCCGCUGCACUGAGAGCUGCACAGCUCGACUGCGUGAAUGAAGCUGAGAGCAAGCCAACAGCAGGCCUAAAGGAAGUGUCCAUUUCACAUCCCAGCUCUGCCUCUGACAAUCAGAUCGCUCUGGCGGCCUCAUCAUCUCAGGAUGAGCUCUUUGUGGCCAGGAUAUUACAAAGCCCAGAUCCAGGUGGACCCAGAAAUGGAACCAGUGACCAUCUGGAGACUGACCAGAGGCAGGAUCCCACCCCACUUGAAGAGAAUAAAUCUAAAUUACAGGAUGUAAUACCUCAGCCGCUGCUAGAUCAGUAUGUGUCCAUGACUGACCCAGCUCGAGCCCAGACUGUCGAUACUGACAUAGCCAAACACUGUGCCUACAGCCUCCCAGGGGUGGCACUGACCCUGGGCAGGCAAAAUUGGCACUGCCUGAAAGAUACAUAUGAAACACUGGCUUCUGAUGUACAGUGGAAGGUACGGCGAGCCCUAGCCUUCUCCAUUCACGAGCUGGCUGUGAUUCUUGGGGAUCAGUUAACAGCAGCUGACCUGGUGCCUAUCUUCAAUGGAUUUUUAAAGGAUCUGGAUGAAGUGCGAAUAGGAGUUCUUAGACACCUGUAUGAUUUUCUAAAGACAGCUGAUACUGAUUCUGGAACUCUAUAGUCCCAAUGAUGUUUAUGAUUACCUAAUGCACAUUGCCUUAAAGUUGUGUGCAGAUCAAGUUUCUGAAGUUCGGUGGAUCUCCUUCAAACUAGUCGUGGCAAUUCUGCAGAAGUUCUAUUCCAACAGUGAAAGUGCAUUGGGGUUAAAUUUCAUCAAUGAGCUCAUCAUAAGGUUCCGGCACUGUUCUAAGUGGGUUGGAAGGCAAGCUUUCGCUUUCAUUUGUCAGAUUCUGAAAUGACUUCUUUGGGAUUAAAGAAGUGUAUGUUUCUAGAAGACUGCGGAAAACAUCAUUUCUUUGGCUGUGACUUUCUUGGAGCAGGCAGUGGUGAGCAAGGAGUGUGUCCCCGUGGACCAGUUCAUGGAGCACCUGCUUCCCAGCCUCCUGAGCCUCGCAUCAGAUCCUGUGCCCAACGUGAGGGUUCUGCUAGCCAAGGCCCUAAGGCAGAUGCUGUUGGAAAAGGCGUAUUUUAGAAAUGCUGGUAACCCUCAUCUUGAAGUCAUUGAAGAGACCAUCUUAGCAUUGCAGUCAGACCGGGACCAAGAUGUUUCCUUUUUUGCAGCCCUAGAACCAAAGCGGCGGAAUAUCAUAGACACUGCUGUACUAGAAAAACAGAAUUAACUACUUCCGUGAUGAGUUGCAAUCUGAUUAUUUCAUGCUUGGCACAUAUGGCUUACCAUAACUUGAAGGGGAACUGAUUGUAUUAUACCAGCUGGGGGAGAUUUUGGAACCUUUCAUACUGUGCACUCAGUGAUUGACGCCUUUUCCAUCUGUACCCCGAAGGGACUGAACCUGAUGGGGGCUUUUUCUGGAUGGCUGGGCCAUCCUGAUCAAGCCUGAUCAGUAAGUCUGUGGAAAGAUUGCAGACCAGGUGGCUAACUGGGCACUGGAGCCUCUGAACCAUCAGGCUGUCUGCCAGCAAGUUCUUUUCUCCAUGGCAGACUGUAUGAUCUGAAGUCCCCCCAACCCUCUCCAAGUAAAGUAGUUUAUUAGAAGCUCUUAAGUCUUUAAUAGACCUGCAUAUUUCCUUCCCUUAUGAUUUCCUAUAAAAUAUAGUUUAUGGUGUUAUAUUUUUAACUGAAAUACUGUACAUAUGUAAAUAACUCUUGACAGGAAGAAAAUAUAUUAAUGUAGUAUUUGCCCCCUAUCAGUGAGCUGAACAAAUACAUCAUUUAAAUCUAUGCUGCACUUUGAGUUGCUACAAAUAUGGUUCGAUUUGUUUAUUUUUGAAAAAUGUGAUAAAGAAAUCUAAAGAAUGAUUGAUGGCAGUCUUUCUAAUAUUGUGCCUUUGUUAUAAACUACUUGGAACUUUUCCUCAGGCACUCACUCCUCCCUGCCUGACAGGAACUGUUUCCAUGAAGAUAUGUGUUGGCCUUUGAUAGAGGCAUAAAGCUGAAAGAUUUUUCAUUUUUAUAUGGAUAUGCUGUCAUAUGUUUAAGAACUUGAGAGGGAAAUGGAUAACUGAGGUUUUUCCAUUUUUAUAUGGAUAUGCUAUAUGUUUAAACUUGGGAGGGAAAUUGAUAACUGAGAUGCAUGGAUAUUGACUUUAUAUCUAAUGCUUUAGAAUCUUAACCAAAAAAAGGAAAACCUAGUUCUGAUCAUAACCUGCCCACAAGUUCUACGCACCUGUGACUUUGGGGGUCAAAUUAUAUACUCUUCAAAUUGACUUAAGUACACACCGCUUAGAUUUCAUGCGUUUCAAAUUUAGACUAAGAGAAAGAUGCUCUAGAAUUUAACCAGGUUUUUUAAAUCAGUAAUUUAAGAUUUUCUAACCAUUUGAACAAAUUUUACUUACAUGUAUGCACAUGUCAUUUUUCGUGUUUCUAUUUUUAUGUUCUCAAAGGUAGGAUAAGGGAAGGAAGGAGGAAACAGCCCAUUUGGGGUUCAAGAGCUAGCUCUGCUAAGGGCUUGUAAGCUAUUUCUAUUCUGCCCUUUGGUCUUUUUCUUGUUUGUCUUGUCUUUAUUUUUAAAUGAAAUUCUUGAAGCUAUGUAUUGAAUUUUCUAGUAUAGAGGAUGUGACUUCCACCUCCAAAUUCCAUUUAACUGAUUCUUUUAAAAGAAAGAUAGGCGUAUAUACACCACGCCAAAAUAAUAAUAAGGUACCUAUGUGAGAAUUGCAAAUUAUACCCCAGGGUAGCAUUUAGGCAGCGUCGGCAAAAAGUGAGUUAAUAAAUCAGAAGCUACAUAUUAAAAAAAAAAUCAGUCAAUCCGUCGUGUGUUUAAUUCUUGCCUAAAGUAAAUGGAGAUAUUGUUUUGCUUUGGUAACCAGCAAUUUUUAAUUUUUUUUUAUUGCCCGCAAAUUGAGAUUGUUUUGUUAAAAUCUGUUGAUCUAGCAGCAAGUAGAAUUAUUCAACUGGAAUCUUGUAUUCUAUUCAGAGCUUAAUUUUCCGUUAAGGAAAAAAAUGAGCUUCAGUUUGUGUUGUGAUGUGUAUAAUUUGCAUGCUGAAUCACAACAUGCUUGGAGAGAUUGUAGAGACUCUUUGGUAAAUAAUCUAACCUUUACAAUUUCCGUUUAUAUGUUAACAUUUUUCUAUAAUAUGAGUGCCUUUCCAAUGCACAGAUAUUUUUUAUGGCUGUAAUUUCUCUGUAAAAAUAAUUUUUAAGCAUACAUUUUAUUCUUUUUUUGCAACAACCGAGAUUUUUCCAAGAUUGUUCUGUUUCCCCUCGCCCUCCUAGCUCCCGCCCCCGUCACUUCGGCGCUUGUAUUUUCUAAUUAUUCAUGGGUGCCAUGUUGAGUGUUUGUAAUUUGACCACCACAGGUAAGCUUCCUGUUUACUUGAACACUCAGCCUCAUCUCCGGUGAAUGAAGGGAAAAGCACAGAUGGGUUUCUCCCAGGCACAGCUCACUCCAAAGGUGUCUUCAUAGAGCCAACCCAGCCUUUCUCAAGGGAGCAUUUCCCCACUUAAUGUGUUUAUCAGCAUCUUUCUUCCGCCAAGAAUUCAAGAGCAUUUUCAAAAUUGAUAGAUUUUGGUGCAGUUUUGCAAGUUUCCGUGGAAGGCUGUCUCCCGCUUCUGGGAUCCACCCCCAUGUCGGGACCAGAUCGGCUGCAGGGAGUCAUGUUUAUGAAAUGUUGGUGGUUUUUUUUUUUUUUCAUUCAUACUAGAAGUGUUUUUAUAACGAAAAUCUGCACUUUACAACUCUGCAGGCCAUGCAUGCAAUGGUGAUUUACAGCCUUGUUUACGUGUAAUUCCUCCAGGUGAUUUAUCCCAAUUUAUGCAAAGAUCCUAUUUUAAACAGACACGGAGAAGUGGUAACCGUUUCCUAACAGCAGCAAGAAUGCCCCUUCCGUUUGCCUGGUGAAAAGAACUGACAUUAACAGCAGCUUGGAGGCUUCGAGGAGGUGGGGACGUGGCCUGAGCUCGGGACGGGGGCCCAGUGCGGGUUGUCGGAGCGUGGCUGCCCGGCGAUGUCUCUGUAUUUAUCAAUAAAUCUCCCGGUUGCUC